rnacentral:RNase_P_RNA from 1 species
GAAGUUCGCCAGGCAGUCGCGGUGCGCAAGCAUCGAGGAAAGUCCGGGCCCCUCAGAGCAGGAUGCCGGCUAACGGCCGGGCGUCAUAAGCCGCAAGGCAAAAGCGACGGAAAGUAUCGCCCGAAGGGGUGAUUCGUGCGGAUGGAUCGAUCUGUGCCGGCUUCGGCCGGUGGGGCGUGCCCCGAGAUCCGCCGUGCGGGCAACAGAAAAUGAACCGCCGACGGCAACAGAUGCCGGGCAAGGGUGAAAAGGUGGGGUAAGAGCCCACCGCGGACGUGGCGACACGGACGGCACGGUAAACCCCAUCCGGGGCAAGGCCAAAUAGGGGAGCAUCGGCGUGGCUCGCGCCGCUCCCGGGUAGGCUGCUAGAGCCGCGCGGUAACGCGCAGCCAAGAGGAAUGACUGCCCGGUGGUCGAAAGGCCGCUCGACAGAACCCGGCUUAUCGGCGGGCUUCCCAC